UGGGGAAUAUUGGACAAUGGGCGCAAGCCUGAUCCAGCCAUGCCGCGUGAGUGAUGAAAGCCCUAGGGUUGUAAAGCUCUUUCACCGGUGAAGAUAAUGACGGUAACCGGAGAAGAAGCCCCGGCUAACUUCGUGCCAGCAGCCGCGGUAAUACGAAGGGGGCUAGCGUUGUUCGGAUUUACUGGGCGUAAAGCGCACGUAGGCGGACUAUUAAGUCAGGGGUGAAAUCCCGGGGCUCAACCCCGGAACUGCCUUUGAUACUGGUAGUCUUGAGUUCGAGAGAGGUGAGUGGAAUUCCGAGUGUAGAAGUGAAAUUCGUAGAUAUUCGGAGGAACACCAGUGGCGAAGGCGGCUCACUGGCUCGAUACUGACGCUGAGGUGCGAAAGCGUGGGGAGCAAACAGG
rnacentral:rRNA from 1 species